rnacentral:rRNA from 1 species
GAUGAACGCUGGCGGCGUGCCUAAUACAUGCAAGUCGAGCGAACAGACGAGGAGCUUGCUCCUCUGACGUUAGCGGCGGACGGGUGAGUAACACGUGGAUAACCUACCUAUAAGACUGGGAUAACUUCGGGAAACCGGAGCUAAUACCGGAUAAUAUAUUGAACCGCAUGGUUCAAUAGUGAAAGACGGUUUUGCUGUCACUUAUAGAUGGAUCCGCGCCGCAUUAGCUAGUUGGUAAGGUAACGGCUUACCAAGGCAACGAUGCGUAGCCGACCUGAGAGGGUGAUCGGCCACACUGGAACUGAGACACGGUCCAGACUCCUACGGGAGGCAGCAGUAGGGAAUCUUCCGCAAUGGGCGAAAGCCUGACGGAGCAACGCCGCGUGAGUGAUGAAGGUCUUCGGAUCGUAAAACUCUGUUAUUUGGGAAGAACAAAUGUGUAAGUAACUAUGCACGUCUUGACGGUACCUAAUCAGAAAGCCACGGCUAACUACGU